rnacentral:lncRNA from 1 species
GAGAAGAAGCCUGCGUCUGGGCCUGGGUGGGACGGAUUCAGGCGCGCAGCAACAACAGGGUGCCUGGCACAAGGAGAUACUCAGUAAAACUCUCAUCUGCUGUGUCAUUAAGGGGAACACUUAAUGGCUCACGCCUGUAAUCCCAGCACUUUGGGAGGCCGAGGCGGAAGGAUCACCUGAGCCCAGGAGUUGGAGACCAGCCUGGGCAACAGAUUGAGACCCUGUCUCAACAAAGAAGAAGAAGAAGAAAAAGGCCAGGCGCCGUGGCUAAUGUCUGUAAUCCCAGCACUUUGGGAGGCCAAGAAGGGAGAACUGCUUGAGGCCAGGAGUUCGAGACCAGCCUGGUCAACAUAGCGAGACACCCCCCCCAUCUCAAAAAUAAAUAAAUCAAAAUAAAAAAUAAAGAGGAGGCCGGGCUUGGUGGCUCACGCCUAUAAUUCCAGCACUUUGGAAGGCCGAGGUAGGUGGAUCACGAGGUCAGGAGUUCAAGACCAGCCUGGCCAAGAUGCUGAAACCCCAUCUCUACUAAAGAUACAAAAAGUUAGCCGGGCGUGGUGGCACACGCCUGUAAUCCCAGCUACUCGGGAGGUGGAGGCAGGAGAAUUGCUUGAACCUGGGAGAUGGAGGUUGCAGUGAGCCGAGAUCACGCCAUUGCACUCCAGCCUGGGCGACAGGGCAAGACUCCAUCUCAAAAAUAAUAAAUGCCGGGCGCGAUGGUUCAUGCCUGUAUUUCCAGCACUUUGGGAGGCCAAGGCGGGCAGAUCACAAGGUCAGGAAUUCGAGACCAGCCUGGCCAAUAUGGUGAAACCCUGUCUCUACUAAAAAUACAAAAAAAAAUAGCCGUGGUGGUGGGUGCCUGUAGUCCCAGCUACUUGGGAGGCUGAGGCGGGAGAAUUGCUUG